rnacentral:rRNA from 1 species
CCGCGGUAAAACCGGUUACUCCUACGGGUGCCAGCAGUGGGGAAUUUUCCGCAAUGGGCGAAAGCCUGACGGAGUGACGCCGCGUGUGGGACGAAGGCCUUCGGGUCGUAAACCACUGUCAGUGGGAAAGCGGUACCCUUGGAGGAAGCCCCGGCUAACUAC